AGUGAACGCUGGCGGUAGGCCUAACACAUGCAAGUCGAACGGCAGCACAGUAAAAGCUUGCUCUUACGGGUGGCGAGUGGCGGACGGGUGAGGAAUACAUCGGAAUCUACUUUUUCGUGGGGGAUAACGUAGGGAAACUUACGCUAAUACCGCAUACGACCUACGGUUGAAAGCAGGGGAUCUUCGGACCUUGCGCGAUUGAAUGAGCCGAUGUCGGAUUAGCUAGUUGGCGGGGUAAAGGCCCACCAAGGCGACGAUCCGUAGCUGGUCUGAGAGGAUGAUCAGCCACACUGGAACUGAGACACGGUCCAGACUCCUACGGGAGGCAGCAGUGGGGAAUAUUGGACAAUGGGCGCAAGCCUGAUCCAGCCAUACCGCGUGGGUGAAGAAGGCCUUCGGGUUGUAAAGCCCUUUUGUUGGGAAAGAAAAGCAGCAGGUUAAUACCCCGCUGUUCUGACGGUACCCAAAGAAUAAGCACCGGCUAACUUCGUG
rnacentral:rRNA from 1 species